rnacentral:rRNA from 1 species
GAUGAACGCUGGCGGCGUGCCUAAUACAUGCAAGUCGAGCGAACAGACGAGGAGCUUGCUCCUCUGACGUUAGUGGCGGACGGGUGAGUAACACGUGGAUAACCUACCUAUAAGACUGGGAUAACUUCGGGAAACCGGAGCUAAUACCGGAUAAUAUAUUGUACCUCAUGGUUCAAUAGUGAAAUACGGUUUUGCUGUUACUUAUACAUGGAUCCGCGCCGCAUUAGGUGGUUGGUAAGGUAACGGCUUACCAAGGCAACGAUGCGUAGCCGGCCUGCUAGGCGGAUCGGCCACCCUGGAGCUGGGACACGGUCCAUGCUCCUACGGGAGGCAGCAGUAGGGAAUCUUCCGCAAUGGGCGAAAGCCUGACGGAGCAGCGCCGCGUGAGUGAUGAAGGUCUUCGGAUCGUAAAACUCUGUUAUUAGGGAAGAACAAAUGUGUAAGUAACUAUGCACGUCUUGACGGUACCUAAUCAGAAAGCCACGGCUAACUACGUG